GACGAACGCUGGCGGCGUGCUUAACACAUGCAAGUCGAACGCUGAAGCCUAGCUUGCUGGGUGGAUGAGUGGCGAACGGGUGAGUAACACGUGAGUAACCUGCCCUCUUCUUUGGGAUAACGCCCGGAAACGGGUGCUAAUACUGGAUAUUCACUGAUCUUCGCAUGGGGGUUGGUGGAAAGGUUUUUUCUGGUGGGGGAUGGGCUCGCGGCCUAUCAGCUUGUUGGUGGGGUGAUGGCCUACCAAGGCUUUGACGGGUAGCCGGCCUGAGAGGGUGACCGGUCACAUUGGGACUGAGAUACGGCCCAGACUCCUACGGGAGGCAGCAGUGGGGAAUAUUGCACAAUGGGCGAAAGCCUGAUGCAGCGACGCCGCGUGAGGGAUGGAGGCCUUCGGGUUGUAAACCUCUUUCGCUCAUGGUCAAGCCGCAACUUAGGGUUGUGGUGAGGGUAGUGGGUAAAGAAGCGCCGGCUAACUACGUGCCAGCAGCCGCGGUAAUACGUAGGGCGCGAGCGUUGUCCGGAAUUAUUGGGCGUAAAGGGCUUGUAGGCGGUUGGUCGCGUCUGCCGUGAAAUCCUCUGGCUUAACUGGGGGCGUGCGGUGGGUACGGGCUGACUUGAGUGCGGUAGGGGAGACUGGAACUCCUGGUGUAGCGGUGGAAUGCGCAGAUAUCAGGAAGAACACCGGUGGCGAAGGCGGGUCUCUGGGCCGUUACUGACGCUGAAGAGCGAAAGCNUGGGGAGCGAACAGG
rnacentral:rRNA from 1 species